rnacentral:rRNA from 1 species
UACGUAGGGUGCGAGCGUUAAUCGGAAUUACUGGGCGUAAAGCGUGCGCAGGCGGUUCGUCAAGUCUGAUGUGAAAGCCCCGGGCUCAACCUGGGAAUGGCAUUGGAAACUAGCGGGCUUGAGUGUGGCAGAGGGGGGUGGAAUUCCACGUGUAGCAGUGAAAUGCGUAGAGAUGUGGAGGAACACCGAUGGCGAAGGCAGCCCCCUGGGCUAACACUGACGCUCAUGCACGAAAGCGUGGGGAGCAAACAGGAUUAGAUACCCUGGUAGUCCACGCCCUAAACUAUGUCAACUGGGUGUUGGGGAAGCGAUUCCUCAGUACCGUAGCUAACGCGUGAAGUUGACCGCCUGGGGAGUACGGCCGCAAGGUUAAAACUCAAAG